rnacentral:rRNA from 1 species
UCAGGACGAACGCUGGCGGCGUGCUUAACACAUGCAAGUCGAACGAUGAACCACUUCGGUGGGGAUUAGUGGCGAACGGGUGAGUAACACGUGGGCAAUCUGCCCUUCACUCUGGGACAAGCCCUGGAAACGGGGUCUAAUACCGGAUAUCACCUCCACUCGCAUGGGUGGGGGUUGAAAGCUCCGGCGGUGAAGGAUGAGCCCGCGGCCUAUCAGCUUGUUGGUGAGGUAAUGGCUCACCAAGGCGACGACGGGUAGCCGGCCUGAGAGGGCGACCGGCCACACUGGGACUGAGACACGGCCCAGACUCCUACGGGAGGCAGCAGUGGGGAAUAUUGCACAAUGGGCGAAAGCCUGAUGCAGCGACGCCGCGUGAGGGAUGACGGCCUUCGGGUUGUAAACCUCUUUCAGCAGGGAAGAAGCGAAAGUGACGGUACCUGCAGAAGAAGCGCCGGCUAACUACGUGCCAGCAGCCGCGGUAAUACGUAGGGCGCAAGCGUUGUCCGGAAUUAUUGGGCGUAAAGAGCUCGUAGGCGGCUUGUCACGUCGGGUGUGAAAGCCCGGGGCUUAACCCCGGGUCUGCAUUCGAUACGGGCUAGCUAGAGUGUGGUAGGGGAGAUCGGAAUUCCUGGUGUAGCGGUGAAAUGCGCAGAUAUCAGGAGGAACACCGGUGGCGAAGGCGGAUCUCUGGGCCAUUACUGAC